rnacentral:rRNA from 1 species
GCAGGACGAAAGUCUGACGGAGCACGCCGCGUGAGUGAUGAAGGUUUUCGGAUCGUAAAACUCUGUUGUUAGGGAAGAACAAUUGGGUAGUAACUGACCCAACCUUGACGGUACCUAACCAGAAAGCCACGGCUAACUACGUGCCAGCAGCCGCGGUAAUACGUAGGUGGCAAGCGUUGUCCGGAAUUAUUGGGCGUAAAGCGCUCGCAGGCGGUCUUUUAAGUCUGAUGUGAAAGCCCACGGCUUAACCGUGGAGGGUCAUUGGAAACUGGAGGACUUGAGUACAGAAGAGGAGAGUGGAAUUCCACGUGUAGCGGUGAAAUGCGUAGAGAUGUGGAGGAACACCAGUGGCGAAGGCGACUCUCUGGUCUGUAACUGACGCUGAGGAGCGAAAGCGUGGGUAGCGAACAGGAUUAGAUACCCUGGUAGUCCACGCCGUAAACGAUGAGUGCUAGGUGUCAGGGGGUUUCCGCCCCUUAGUGCUGAAGUUAACGCAUUAAGCACUCCGCCUGGGGCAGUACGGCCGCAAGGCUGAAACUCAAAAGAAUUGACGGGGGCCCGCACAAGCGGUGGAGCAUGUGGUUUAAUUC